rnacentral:rRNA from 1 species
UACAGAGGUGCCGAGCGUUAGGCGGAAUCACUGGGCUUAAAGCGCGUGUAGGCGGGUCGGUAAGUGUCUUGUGAAAUCCCACGGCUCAACCGUGGAACUGCUGGGCAUACUGCCGAUCUUGAGGCACUCAGGGGCUGUCGGAACAAAUGGUGGAGCGGUGAAAUGCGUAGAUAUCAUUUGGAACGCCAAUGGUGAAAACAGACAGCUGGGGGUGUCCUGACGCUGAGACGCGAAAGCCAGGGGAGCAAACGGG